rnacentral:rRNA from 1 species
UAGGGAAUCUUCCACAAUGGGCGAAAGCCUGAUGGAGCAACGCCGCGUGUGUGAUGAAGGCUUUAGGGUCGUAAAGCACUGUUGUAUGGGAAGAAAUGCCAGAAUAGGGAAUGAUUCUAGUUCGACGGUACCAUACCAGAAAGGGACGGCUAAAUACGUGCCAGCAGCCGCGGUAAUACGUAUGUCCCGAGCGUUAUCCGGAUUUAUUGGGCGUAAAGCGAGCGCAGACGGUUGAUUAAGUCUGAUGUGAAAGCCCGGAGCUCAACUCCGGAAUGGCAUUGGAAACUGGUUAACUUGAGUGUUGUAGAGGUAAGUGGAACUCCAUGUGUGGCGGUGGAAUGCGUAGAUAUAUGGAAGAACACCAGUGGCGAAGGCGGCUUACUGGACAACAACUGACGUUGAGGCUCGAAAGUGUGGGUAGCAAACAGGAUUAGAUACCCUGGUAGUCCACACCGUAAACGAUGAAUACUAGGUGUUAGGAGGUUUCCGCCUCUUAGUGCCGAAGCUAACGCAUUAAGUAUUCCGCCUGGGGAGUACNGACCGCAAGGUUG